AACCAUCUUCUAACUACCCUGAAUGCUGAAUGGAAUUCAAAAGCUCCUGAAUGUUCCACUGUUUCUUAGGGAACCAGAAGUAAAGCUAGCCCCAUUCUAAGAUUAAUCAGAAUCCACAUGUUUUGGGGAGCACCUGGGUGGCAUAGUCGGUUAAACCUCUGACUCUUGGGUUUUGGCUCAGGUUGUGAUCUCAGUGUCAUGAGAUCACGUGCUUGUUGGCUGGUGCUCAGGGUGGAGUCUGCUUAAGAUCCUCUCUCCCUCCCCUCUACCCCUCCUACACCUGCUUGUUCUCUCUCUUAAAAAAAAAAAAAAUCACAUGCUUUGGCAGUUAUGCCAACUUCCCAGGAAGGAACAGCAGGGAAUAAAAGGUGAAAUCCAUGUCAUCUUUGUCCUCACCG
rnacentral:lncRNA from 1 species